rnacentral:rRNA from 1 species
GCGUGGGUGAUGACGCUCUAUGGAGUGUAAAGCCCUGUUAGAAGGGAAGAACAGAUUAUAGUAAAGCUAUAAUUUUGACGGUACCUUCAGAGAAAGCCCCGGCUAACUCCGUGCCAGCAGCCGCGGUAAUACGGGGGGGGCAAGCGUUGUCCGGAAUCACUGGGCGUAAAGGGCGUGUAGGCGGGAUGGUCAGUUAGAGGUGAAAACCUGCGGCUUAACCGUAGGCGUGUCUUUAAUACUGCCAUUCUUGAGUGCGAGAGGGGGAAGUGGAAUUCUUGGUGUAGCGGUGAAAUGCGUAGAUAUCAAGAAGAACACCGGUAGCGAAGGCUGCUUCCUGGCUCGUAACUGACGCUGAGGCGCGAAAGCGUGGGGAGCAAACAGGAUUAGAUACCCUGGUAGUCCACGCCGUAAACGUUGGGUACUAGGUGUUGGGCCGCAAGGUUCAGUGCCGAAGCUAACGCAUUAUGUACCCCGCCUGGGGAGUACGAUCGCAAGGUU